CCAUAAAGGAUCCGAAGGAAAGCAAAGUUUCAUGUUCGCCAAGCGGAUGAUGCGAGUUCGAUUCUCGCUACCCGCU
rnacentral:tRNA from 1 species